ACGAUGCUUCUAAGUGAUUGAUAUUUUUAGCCUCCGGAGCAAAAGGUCGGUGGUUCGAAUCCACUCGGGCGUACCA
rnacentral:tRNA from 1 species